rnacentral:sRNA from 1 species
ACAUCCACGUCGGCAGAGACAGGAACGU